AUUCCUGGGAGGAUGCAGCCCUCGCCUGGACCUGGGCGAUAGACGCCUUCUUCUGUUUUUAUUUUUGGAGGGGAGCGCCCUGUAAUUGUCCUGAACACAUGCUUCCCCCCCUUCCUCCAGCCACCCGCGGAGGAGAGAGUCCCCCUUUUUUGCAUUUAUCUUUUCCUUCCCCUUUCUUUAUUAAAGGUCCGGGAGUGGCGGCGGCCAAUCAGCGCGCGGCUUCCAUUUUGUGAGUUCAACUCCGAGGCUCCCGGGCUUCGCGAGGACGCGUUUGCAGCCCCCUCUGCCGCUCCUCUCUGGCGGCCGAGGCGCAGGAGCCGCCUCGCCGGGGCUCGGAGCUGGUGUAGCUCAUAUUGGGGCUCUUUUCGGGGUUUGUAAUUUGGCCGUGGACACGAAGGAGAGGCCAACAGAUGAGGGAAGCCAUUUUUCUGCAAUGGAAUUAAAUGGCCAAGUGGGUUUUUCCUUUGUUGCAAAUGGGGAAUGUUUUUCCUUUGACUCUACCAUCCAGUUCAGGACGUCUCAGUGUGUUUAACAUUUGUCAACAGGCCCAAGGACUCACAGUUGGAAGACUGGAGAAGACUUUUUAAAAAGAUCUGGAUUUUUCCUUAUGACUUGGAAUCCAUCUUUGUCUUGUAUAACUAGGUCAUAGCACACCAUUCAUGUCAGCAGUUAACAGUUUUGAAUUCCAAAAAAACCUAAAGCAGUAAACAGUCCUCAGCGAAGCCGCCUUUUUGCCUACCCAACCCUGGAAAGUUUGCAGAAGUGGAAGGAGCAGAACGUGAGGGUGUAACUUACAAAAAGGUAAUAAGAACAAAGACACCACCAUAACCCCCAAAUUUCCCAACUAAAUCAAAAAAUAUAUAUGUUUUUACAAUAACGUCUCCAAAACCACCGCCCAGCUUGAUCUUCUAGACUCCAUGGCACCGGGCUGAGCGGGUAAGUAAGAAAGAUAAAAAGUGCCUUUUGCCCCUUCGAGGAAACCCUUUUGCAGGCCAAGCAAGGGCUGCAAGUGUUUGGGAGCUGAGAGGAGAAGGAGGAUUCUGGAGCAUUGUAUUUGGCAGCCGGAGCGGGCAGUGGGCGGGGGGUUGGGACACGAAGGGCUCUUCGGACCCCUGUGCCUCUUCUGCCCCAAGGGCGAGAAGACGGGCUUCGCAGCGACCCUCGGGGGUCCAUGGAGCCGCCUGCCUUCGCCCCCUCGCUCUUCCCAGGUCUGAACCUGGAUGGGGAGAAGAAAUUGAAGUGCUUUGGAGACGGGGGGGCUUAAAACACUAGGGAGCCUCAUCGCCCAGCCUUGGGCCCACUUUCCUUUCGAUCGUGAGGAUUCCGCACCCCGAAGCCGGCUUCUCGGGGCUCCGGGGCGCGCCUGCGCUGGCAACGCGAAGGAGGACAAAAGGCCGGCGUCCA
rnacentral:lncRNA from 1 species